rnacentral:rRNA from 1 species
AACUUUCAGCAACGGAUCUCUUGGCUCUCGCAUCGAUGAAGAACGCAGCGAAUUGCGAUACGUAAUGUGAAUUGCAGAUUUUCAGUGAAUCAUCGAAUCUUUGAAUGCACCUUGCGCUCCUUGGUAUUCCGAGGAGCAUGCCUGUUUGAGUGUC